rnacentral:rRNA from 1 species
AUUGAACGCUGGCGGCAGGCCUAACACAUGCAAGUCGAACGGUAACAGGAAACAGCUUGCUGUUUCGCUGACGAGUGGCGGACGGGUGAGUAAUGUCUGGGAAACUGCCUGAUGGAGGGGGAUAACUACUGGAAACGGUAGCUAAUACCGCAUAACGUCGCAAGACCAAAGAGGGGGACCUUCGGGCCUCUUGCCAUCGGAUGUGCCCAGAUGGGAUUAGCUUGUUGGGGGGGUAACGGCUCACCAAGGCGACGAUCCCUAGCUGGUCUGAGGGGAUGACCAGCCACACUGGAACUGAGACACGGUCCAGACUCCUACGGGAGGCAGCAGUGGGGAAUAUUGCACAAUGGGCGCAAGCCUGAUGCAGCCGUGCCGCGUGUAUGAAGAAGGCCUUCGGGUUGUAAAGUACUUUCAGCGGGGAGGAAGGGAGUAAAGUUAAUACCUUUACUCAUUGACGUUACCCGCAGAAGAAGCACCGGCUAACUCCGUGCCAGCAGCCGCGGUAA